rnacentral:rRNA from 1 species
AUGAACGCUAGCUACAGGCUUAACACAUGCAAGUCGAGGGGCAGCAUCAUCAAAGCUUGCUUUGAUGGAUGGCGACCGGCGCACGGGUGAGUAACACGUAUCCAACCUGCCGACAACACUGGGAUAGCCUUUCGAAAGAAAGAUUAAUACCGGAUGGCAUAGUUUUCCCGCAUGGGAUAAUUAUUAAAGAAUUUCGGUUGUCGAUGGGGAUGCGUUCCAUUAGGCAGUUGGCGGGGUAACGGCCCACCAAACCAACGAUGGAUAGGGGUUCUGAGAGGAAGGUCCCCCACAUUGGAACUGAGACACGGUCCAAACUCCUACGGGAGGCAGCAGUGAGGAAUAUUGGUCAAUGGACGAGAGUCUGAACCAGCCAAGUAGCGUGAAGGAUGACUGCCCUAUGGGUUGUAAACUUCUUUUAUACGGGAAUAAAGUGAGCCACGUGUGGCUUUUUGUAUGUACCGUAUGAAUAAGGAUCGGCUAACUCCGUGCCAGCAGCCGCGGUAAUACGGAGGAUCCGAGCGUUAUCCGGAUUUAUUGGGUUUAAAGGGAGCGUAGGCGGGUUGUUAAGUCAGUUGUGAAAGUUUGCGGCUCAACCGUAAAAUUGCAGUUGAUACUGGCGACCUUGAGUGCAACAGAGGUAGGCGGAAUUCGUGGUGUAGCGGUGAAAUGCUUAGAUAUCACGAAGAACUCCGAUUGCGAAGGCAGCUUACUGGAUUGUAACUGACGCUGAUGCUCGAAAGUGUGGGUAUCAAACAGGAUUAGAUACCCUGGUAGUCCACACAGUAAACGAUGAAUACUCGCUGUUGGCGAUAUACGGUCAGCGGCCAAGCGAAAGCAUUAAGUAUUCCACCUGGGGAGUACGCCGGCAACGGUGAAACUCAAAGGAAUUGACGGGGGCCCGCACAAGCGGAGGAACAUGUGGUUUAAUUCGAUGAUACGCGAGGAACCUUACCCGGGCUUAAAUUGCAACUGACUGAACCGGAAACGGUUCUUUCUUCGGACAGUUGUGAAGGUGCUGCAUGGUUGUCGUCAGCUCGUGCCGUGAGGUGUCGGCUUAAGUGCCAUAACGAGCGCAACCCUUAUCGAUAGUUACUAGCAGGUCAUGCUGAGGACUCUAUUGAGACUGCCGUCGUAAGAUGUGAGGAAGGUGGGGAUGACGUCAAAUCAGCACGGCCCUUACGUCCGGGGCUACACACGUGUUACAAUGGGGGGUACAGAGGGCCGCUACCACGCGAGUGGAUGCCAAUCCCCAAAACCUCUCUCAGUUCGGACUGGAGUCUGCAACCCGACUCCACGAAGCUGGAUUCGCUAGUAAUCGCGCAUCAGCCACGGCGCGGUGAAUACGUUCCGGGCCUUGUACACACCGCCCGUCAAGCCAUGAAAGCCGGGGGUACCUGAAGUACGUAACCGCGAGGAGCGUCCUAGGGUAAAACUGGUGAUUGGGGCU